AUGCCUAGGCUCUUCUUCUACCCAGUAGCCCUUCUUCUUCCCUUGCUCUCCACUCUGCUCUGCUCCUGUGCGUCCCCAUGGCAGAGAAGCACAGGCACAUCUCUGCAAGUAGAUCGUGAGAAAGUCUUGCUCGUCUCACCAGACACCACCUUCUCCUGCGGCUUCUACCCGUCCGGGAACGGCACCAACGCCUUCUACUUCUCCAUCUGGUUCACGCAUGCCACCGACAAGACCGUCGUCUGGACAGCGAAUCCUCGCUUCCCAGUGAACGCCCAGGGCUCCAGGAUAUCCCUGAACCGUGAGGGCAACCUGGUCCUCACCGACUUCAAUGAUUCCACAGCAUGGGAGAGCAAGACAGGCUGGGGCAAGCACACAACAGUGGCUCUCCUCGACACCGGGAACCUCGUGAUCAACGACUCGGCCGGUAAGACCGUAUGGCAGAGCUUCGAUUUGCCCACCAACACCUUGCUCCCGACGCAGCAUCUGACGAGAGCAAACAAGUUGGUCUCCCAGUCAGAUAGUUACCAUGUCCUCUAUUUCGACAAUGACAACGUCCUACGCCUCCUGUACAAUGGACCGGACAUCACAAGCAUAUACUGGCCAAGCCCUGAUUACAAUGCACUCCAGAACGGCCGGACUAGGUUCAACAGCAGCAAGCUCGCAGUCCUGGACCGCGAGGGCAAGUUCUUGUCAAGUGAUGGGUUCAAGAUGAUAGCCUCGGAUUCAGGUUUGGGGAUCCAGAGAAGGAUCACCAUCGACUAUGAUGGGAACUUCAGAAUGUACAGUUUGAAUGCAUCAAGUGGAAACUGGAGUAUCACAGGGCAGGGUGUGCAGCAGAUGUGUUAUGUGCAUGGAUUGUGUGGAAAGAAUGGAAUUUGUGAGUACUCACCAGCAGGCCGCCCCAGAUGCACUUGUCCUCCAGGAUAUAAGAUGGUUGAUCCCGAGAACUGGGACAGAGGCUGCAAGCCAACAUUCAGCAUCCAAUGCGGGCAACCACAGGAGGAUUUUCAAUUCGUCAAGGUUCCUCAUGGUGACUUUUAUGGCUUCGAUCUCACUUCCAACAAGUCAAUCUCCCUCGAAGAAUGCAGGCGGAUUUGCUUGGAGAGCUGCAUGUGCAUAUCUUUCACAUACAAAGCUGGAGAGGGUUUAUGUUACACUAAAAAUGUGCUCUACAACGGCCAGGUCUAUCCAUAUUUCCUGGGAGACAACUACUUCAAACUUCCUAAGAGUGUCAGUUCAACAUCUCCAGCCGCCAAUCAUCCUGGUAUUACCUGCAGUCCGGAGAGAUCCAAGGUUAUGGUAGUGUCUGCAGAUGCAUACAUAAAAAACUCUGACCACAUAAGCUGGGCAUACCUCUACAUCUUUGCUGCUAUAUUAGGGGCAGUUGAAUUGUUUUUUAUCAUGACAGGAUGGUACGUCCUUUUCAAAAUGCACAACAUACCCAAGUCCAUGGAGGAAGGUUACAAGAUGAUAACAAGCCAGUUCAGGAGGUUUACGUACCGUGAGUUGGUUGAAGCAACAGGGAAGUUCAAAGAAGAGCUAGGGAAGGGUGGCAAUGGAGUAGUUUACAGAGGAAUACUCGGAGACAAGAAGGUUGUGGCAGUAAAGAAGCUUACAGAUGUUAGAAAAGGUGAAGAGGAAUUUUGGGCAGAAGUAACUCUCAUUGGGAGGAUCAACCACAUGAAUUUGGUACGAAUGUAUGGGUUUUGCUCAGAAGGCCAACACAGGUUAUUAGUCUACGAGUUUGUGGAGAAUGAGUCAUUGGACAGAUACCUUUUUGAUGGCAGAGGCACUGAAAGACUGCUCUCAUGGGGUCAGCGGUUCAAGAUUGCCUUGGGGACAGCAAGAGGCCUUGCUUACCUGCAUCAUGAAUGUCUCGAAUGGAUUGUCCAUUGUGAUGUAAAGCCAGAAAACAUACUGCUGACACGAGAAUUCGAAGCCAAGAUAGCAGACUUUGGACUAUCCAAGCUCUCUCAGAGAGAUAGUUCUAGCUUAAAUUUCACUCAAAUGAGAGGCACAACGGGCUAUAUGGCACCAGAAUGGGUGAUGAAUUUGCCAAUUGAUGCAAAGGUAGAUGUUUACAGCUUCGGAGUUGUGCUUCUAGAGAUUGUCACUGGGAGUAGGGUUUCCAGUGGGGUGACAGCAUACGAAGAUGAGAUGGGCUUGAUGCAAAUUCCCAGUGGGGCAACAGAAGGCGGAGAAGAGAUGGGGUUCAUGCAAUUUGUUCAGGCGGUGAAACAGAUGCUCGCCAAUGGGGCUGACCUGGAUAUAGUGGAUGCUAGACUGAAAGGGCAUUUCAAUCACAAGCAAGCAACAGUUAUGGUGAAGAUAGCUAUUUCAUGCCUUGAUGAAAGAAGCAAGAGGCCAACAAUGGAACAAAUUGCCAGAAAUCUCAUGGAAUGUGACGAUGAAGAUUAUCAUCCUGCAUACUUUUGA
rnacentral:rRNA from 1 species